rnacentral:lncRNA from 1 species
GACAUGUUUAAUUCUAAUGUUUAACAAGCUAAUAUGCAGGAAUUUAAUUUAGCAUGUCGGACGUUAGUUUGAUCCUAAAAUCAAGAUUUCUAAUCGAAUUAAUUAAUAAGUAGAUUAAAUGUCUAACCGAUUUAUGUGUUAAUAAACCCUAAGUUUGUGUGCCUAAAUGAUCCACGUAGCACGUAACACACAUAAAAACAUAAGUUGUGCCUAUCUAUACUAUUCAUAGAGCACGUAAGUCCCCGCCCCCAAGCAAUUCCCCAAAUUUAUUAUUACAUGUAGAUGUUUAUACAAUAAUUAUUACAAAUUCAAAAAUAAAAAAAUAAAAAAAUGUCUAAGUGAAAUAGCCUUAACCAUUCUCGAAUUCCGAGAAACUCUUCAUUUUACCUGAAUCUAAAAACUUAAAUCAGAACCUGUCAAACACAAGUACAUGCGCAAAAAUAUACUACCAUCUAAAUACAUUCUCAAGUCCAAAAGUUAUAAACAUCCAAAGGGAGACAUACAUGACAUUUAACAACAAACAGAGGAUCAUCAUAAUUCAGGACAAUAACUUUCAACAAUUAAAGCAUUAGGAAGACAUACCGGUAGGCGGCAACAAAUAAAAGAAAGCUCUAAUAAGUUGAAAUUCACGAUAGAAACCUCAAGCCAAGUAUUGCAAGGAGUAAAGUGUAGUAAAAAGUUUUUUUUGUAAAACUUUCUAUUGUGUAAGAGAAUGAUAGAGGAUGAAAAGCCAGUGUAAAAAAGAAGAAUGAGUCUGAUGUCCUCCCAAUAGUGAAAAAGAGUCUUGUUUUUAUAGUGGAUAGAAGAAUGAAUAAGUAAAGGACAGAAGAUAAAUCAAGGAUGAUUAUAGAAAUUAUUUUUCUUAAUUACAUAAUCAUAUCAAGAUUUAAAUAAAUCAAUCACAAUUAACAUAAUUGAUCACAUAAAAGAUUAUCCGACUUAUUUAAGGCAAGACAAAUAAGGAAGGAAAUUAAUCUCGAAAGAUUUUUUCAAACAAUAUGGUAAGGAUAAUAAAAAUUAGUCAAUUCAUCACACAUUACUUAGCCAACUAAUAUUCUCAGUUAAAUGUAAGAGUGAAUCAAGCUUACCAUGAAUAGAGAAGUAAGAAAAAAUCCAUUAUAGGCCAGCUAGAAUCAAUCACUAGUGACAUCAAAACUUUAACAAACAGCUAUCACACAAUUUCAAUAAUAAUGAAAAAAAAAUCAAACGAUCAUAUUUAGCAAGCAAAUACUAUACUAGACAGAGUUCAGAAUUAGGUGUCCCUGUGUACCCCAUUAAUUUUGAAUCAAAGACACUAAAUCAAUCACAAAUCAUAAAUCGAGAUUGAGCAUGAUUGAAGGCUAACUAAAUUUAUCCCCAACAUAACUCAUUGUGUCAAGCAAAGCCUUCAAACAAAAUGCAAUUAACAAAUCAGUGACCAUUAAUGUAAAAACUAAAAAUAAUCAUCGCUGAUAAAAUUUGGGCAUUUUUCAUAUAUGUUAGUCUAAGGGCAGAAACAAACAUGAAAUUUAAAGAAUAAUCUCAAAAAUCAAAGUCAAAUUUCACCGAUUUCAAAUCUAAGAACCUGUCUAAAAGAAUAAGGAUAGAAGAAAAGAAUAAAUUCAAAGGGAGAAACAACCUGGGACGAAUUCAAAAAAAAUCCAUCAAGAAUGUAGUGUUUUCCAACGAUGUUUGACCAGAGCUCGGCGGUGACAGUGGUUUGUUGCAUGGGGUUCGGACAUGACGGCGGCUUACCGGUAGUUGUCUUGAUUUUGCCGGUGGGCUUGAGUCGACGUGGCAGUGACAGCUGGAGCGGGGAUAAUGAUGAAGAUGAGGGAAAAGAGGUAGGGUGGCACGGCUAGUGCAAUUUCACCGGUGGCAGUGCUGAUUCGGGCUUUUACCAGUGGCUAGUCGCUUAUGCGCAUUGGUCGGCUGGAAUGGCAGUAACGGGAAGAGAAUGAAGAGAAGAUGGAGGAAGAGAGAAGAAGGUUGGGCAGCGAGGGUGUUGGCUUGGUCGGCGGUGGCUAGUUUUGUACGGUGGUUGGUGGUUGGUGGUUGGUGGUUGACAGAGGGAGCAAUGGUUGCUGGUUUUUAAAUAGAGAAAGAAGAGAGAAGGUGGAGAUUGGUGGCGGCUGAUGUUGAUUUUUUUUUCAAAA